UAGCUCCAGCAGCACAUAUUCUAAAAUUUGGAAUGACACAGAUAAGAUUAGCAUGAACACUGGGCAAAGAUGACACACAAAUUCAUGAAACAUUCCAUAUUAGC
ensembl:snRNA U6 U6 spliceosomal RNA